rnacentral:lncRNA from 1 species
UUCACUCUCACUUUGCUUUGUAUAUAUAACCAUGAAAUGAAUAUACAUGUAUUUAGUAAAACUAUUGGUUGUUGUUUAGAAUUAGAAUAUGAACUGUAUGUGAAGAUGAGAUUAUACAGUAAGAGGAAUUCGUAAUAUUGGUUGUAAGUUUGUUAGAGCUAUUAGUACAGACUGCAGACUAAGACUAUUUGACAGUGCUGUGAAUAUUGUAAGAAGUUCAGGAUAUAAGUUGUUGAAGAUGUAUCUUUUCAAGUUCAGUAAUCUCGCUGAAAAAGAUAGUAUUAGAUCAAAGUGAUGCAGAUGACUAUUGGAAAAUACAUGAGCUAUAGUUAAGGAAGAGUUAUAAGUUUAUUCAGUAUUAAUGUGAAGUCCUGAGACAAGAAGUAACUUGUGAAUUUAGGGAUUAGUGAAGGCUGAGAGUAGAAUUACAUUCUAAGGGUCUAUGUGCACAAGGGAUCCUCAGUCUUGGAGCGUAAAGAGUAGAAAGCUUAUUAGGCAAUAGUAUAGGGAUGAUUAUGCCAACAUUCUUGUAUUAGGUCUAUAUAUGUGAUUUCUUGAAAGAGACGCUAAGUGAAGAGUUAUAUGAUUAGAAGCUAAAGUAGAUUGACUGAUACCGCAAUGUUAUAGACAUUUGAUAAGGGUUAAGUUAUUUAUUAGUAGCCAAGUUAUGAUUAUGAGAUCGAUGAAGAGUUGCAUUUUACAUAAAGCAUGGAAGUAAGGAUAGUUUCGUUUAGAGAUAGUAAAGUAAUGAAACUAACCAGAUGAUGUUCUUAGUGAUAUAGUAAGAGAACACUGAGAGCUAAUGAAUUCAAUGUAUGCGAACAGGUAGAUUUAUUUGUGUUUAAUACUUGAAGAGUAUUGUUAUUGUUAUGCCAUUUGAUCGUAUAUAUGUUAUUGUAAGAAAAGACUGUUAUUGUAGAAGAUUAAGUAAUAAAGACUUUGUUUUUGCCACGCAUCUCAGUCAACACCUUUCUUAUUUUGUCUUCCUUUAAUAGGUAAGAAAGAAUCUUAUAUUAUUCAAUUGUGUUAUAUUCUUGUUGUUCAUAAUAUGUGUAUUUCUAAACUAUUAUAGCUUCACUAUUCAUAUAUCUUGUAUUACUGUAUAAAAAGAGAUAUUAAUGGUCUUUGGCUAUGAGAUGUUGGAUUAUAUGACAUGUGGACUAUGGGUGGAAAUAUAAGAAAUGCCAUGUGGGAAGAGAUGCCAGGUGGGAAGAGAUAAUGUCAUUGAUGUACAUAGUAAUUACUUGUAGUAAUGAUAGGAAACUAUUACUGUGUGUAUGUGAGAUUGAUGAUUAUGUUGUUUGAUUUAGACAACAUUUUAAGUAAGUUUUGAGAAGAGAAUAUACUUUAUAACUGUCAGUAUAUUUGUCUUUUGCUCGAUAUUCAUGUGUAUAUAUAUAUUCUUAGCCAAGGACAUGUGCCAUUUACUAUGCAUUAUGCCAAAGCACAUUGUUAUAUAUUAUAGUUUGGUUAGAUACAGUUUUGAUAGCGAAAUGAGUGGUUCAAGUCCAGAUUAUCUUUAACUUUCAGUAUUAUGGUAUGAGUGAGUGUGGACGCACCAUGUGUACAAUACUAGUGUGUUAUCGGGAAAUGGCAGUGCAAGCAGUGUAAACACAACUUCUUAUCAAAGUUCUUAAUCCCCUCUCCCCAAGCUUUGUUUGCUUUUUGCCCAUGCUGGAAAAUGGUAUCUUAGGCGGGAAUGAAAGUUUGGUAGAGUCAGCAAAAUGAGAAGACAAAGGAUUUGAGUUGGGGAAUACACUUGUUGAGAAACACAUGGUCAAAUUGUCUAAUAGUUAGCUAGUGAUGGAUGGGUUGAUGAAAUAUUGUAGUUGAAGACUUGCAUAAUCACUGUCUGGAAUUCAUUGUAUUAUAUUGUUAGGAAUGAUAAUUCAGGUUAAA